rnacentral:ncRNA from 1 species
AUAAAGACAUAGAACAGGAAGAGUAAGCAUGACUGCCCCUUACAGAGAGCAGUGCAGCUGGUGGAAUGCCUGCAGGAGUGUGGAUGCUGAAGUCGCCUGGGAGUUGUCCUGUUGAACACAGCGCUGAUUCAUGAUGAAUCAAGGCGUCUUGAGUAGGCAGGGACGGUAGCAGCCGUUAUGUGCGAAUGAAGUGCUGCAGCUUGGCUGUAUUCGAAGCAUCGAUGCGAAUACAGUUGUGACCGGCUUAAGGAAUUGAGCCCUGCAGAAUGAAGGUGGUACCACGGAAGCAAUCCUUUCGUCCUUUGC